UUAUUGGAGAGUUUGAUCCUGGCUCCGGACCAACGCCGGCGGCGUGCCUUAUACAAGCCAAGCGAGCGGACAGAUGGGAGCUUGCUCCCUGAUGUUAGCCGCGGUAGGGGUAGUAACACGUGGGUUACCCGCCUGGUAGAACUGGAUUACUUCGGGGAACCCGGGCGAAUAACGGUAGGGUUGUUUACACGCCUGGUUCAACACACAAAGGGUGGUUCGGCCACCCACUCACGCUGGGACCGCGGUGCAUUUCGCUAGUGGGGCAGUUACAGGUCACCA
rnacentral:rRNA from 1 species